AGACACUACUGUGCGUAGGAGCGAUGACACAAAGACAACUGUGUGGGAUGGAGGCUGGCACACGGUCAUCUGUUUUGGUUUCAAUUGAGGACGGACAGAUAUUGAAAUGCCCAACUUAUUGUACCUAGGUGCCAAAGGAGAUGAUGGAAAUGUCAAAAGGUCCUGCAAGGGAACCCAUGCUGAAAAUCAUGUUUCCAGCACAGAGAAAAUUAAAAUAUACUUAGGGUGCUUUCAGGGAAUUUUUUUUAGUCACCAGGUAGCUUUAGGUUAUUUGAUCAGCUACACCUGGAUCUUGUCUUGAUGCAAAAACUUAAACAAAUAUUUUUGUCAGCAGAGAAGAUGCCUCCAGUAACAAAAGGCACAUUUGAUGCGUGCUUUUUUUCCUCUAUGUUUCAAUUUUCUGUGUCAAAUCCAUACAGUCAGAAGAUCUGGAUAUCCUUUCUUCAGAUUUUCAGCUAACUGCAGUGUGUAAAAUAAUGCCAUGCCAAGAUUAUCUGUACUGAAGAUAUGGUAUGAUGAAAGCUGGUUCUGUAAAAAGAUUUCUUAGGAAAGGCACUCUGCAAACUUUAACAGAUCUCUAGAACAUCCUGUGUCAAACACAGCGUGCUGAGAUUUUGUCCCCCCCUCCCAAAAUAUGGCUACUGUUAACUGAGUGGUAAUUUCAGUGUCUUCUCUUUCAUCAGCUGAAUGUCAAGAUGAUGUCUAUAUUUCAUGUACAUCAAGUGAAUGGGGAAAUUUUCUCUGUGGAUAUCUUUUCUGCUUUUUAAUAAAUUCUUUCUUUUGCCUGAAGAGAAUUAGAAGCUGGCUUUUGACCUCCAUUAAUUUUUUUUAAU